rnacentral:rRNA from 1 species
UACGUAGGGUGCAAGCGUUGUCCGGAAUUAUUGGGCGUAAAGAGCUCGUAGGCGGUUUGUCGCGUCGGCUGUGAAAGCCCGGAGCUCAACUCCGGGUCUGCAGUCGAUACGGGCAGACUUGAGUGUUGCAGGGGAGACUGGAAUUCCUGGUGUAGCGGUGAAAUGCGCAGAUAUCAGGAGGAACACCGGUGGCGAAGGCGGGUCUCUGGGCAACAACUGACGCUGAGGAGCGAAAGCGUGGGGAGCGAACAGG